rnacentral:rRNA from 1 species
AUUCUUUAUAUUUCGCAUGAAAUUAAAAGGAAAGGUCAGCCGAACUAAGAUGAGCUCGCGUUCUAUCAGCUAGUUGGUGAGGUAAAAGCUCACCAAGGCUACGACGGAUAGCUGGUCUGAGAGGACGAUCAGCCACACUGGGACUGAGACACGGCCCAGACUCCUACGGGAGGCUGCAGCAGGGAAUAUUGCGCAAUGAGCGAAAGCUUGACGCAGCGACACCGCGUGUGGGAUGACGGAUCUAGGUUUGUAAACCACUUUCAGGAGGGAAGAAAAUGACGGUACCUCCACAAGAAGCCCCGGCCAACUACGUGCCAGCAGCCGCGGUAAUACGUAGGGGGCGAGCGUUGUCCGGAUUUAUUGGGCGUAAAGAGCUCGUAGGCGGUUCAACAAGUCGGUCGUGAAAGUUCAGGGCUCAACCCUGAAAUGUCGAUCGAUACUGUUGUGACUAGGAUACGGUAGAGGUGAGUGGAAUUCCGAGUGUAGCGGUGAAAUGCGUAGAUAUUCGGAGGAACACCAAUUGCGAAGGCAGCUCACUGGGCCGCUAUCGACGCUGAGGAGCGAAAGCUAGGGGAGCAAACAGGAUUAGAUACCCUGGUAGUCCUAGCUGUAAACGAUGGAUACUAGACGUAGGAACUGGAUUGACGGUUUCUGUGUCGCAGCUAACGCGUUAAGUAUCCCGCCUGGGGAGUACGGUCGCAAGACUAAAACUCAAAGGAAUUGACGGGACCCCGCACAAGCGGCGGAGCAUGCGGCUUAAUUCGAUGAUACCCGUAGAACCUUACCUGGACUUGACAUAUAGGGUCUAGCUAUAGAGAUAUAGUGU